GGAGAUCAUUUUUACAAUGUGACCCUAUGCGAUAUCACUUCCCUGAGGGUAACAAAGGUGGCAAGGGAGCUGAUGCUGCAAGUGUCUGGGUACAGACCUGAUGCUUAUGCUGCAAUGCUGUGUGCUGCAAUGAUGCCAGCAGAGUUAAUACUGGAGUGGCACAGGAAAGUGUCCUCCCAUGGUGGAUGAAAUAAGGCAGCCCUCCCCAGAAACCUUCUGCAAAGGG